CUGACUCACAUGGCAUAGCUGCCUUCUUUCAAUGGAUCAAUUGUAUAGCUGAUGAUCCUUAAUGGGCCAUCAAGCAGGCUAGGCAGAGCUAACACCAGCUUGU